ACCGAAUUGUCGACACGAGUUGUUGCUGGCCCUCGAAGGGGGGCACGUGCACACUCUGUUUACACAUCCAUUCACACCUGUGCACCCUCUGUAGCUCUAUGGCCCGGGGGACACCGUCCUCUUGCUGUGGUCCUACGUUUUUACACACACACCGUAACAAAGUCUUAUGGAAUGCAUGUCGCGUUUAACGCAAUACAAUACAACUUUCAGCAACGGAUCUCUUGGCUCUCGCAUCGAUGAAGAACGCAGCGAAAUGCGAUAAGUAAUGUGAAUUGCAGAAUUCAGUGAAUCAUCGAAUCUUUGAACGCACCUUGCGCCCUUUGGCUAUUUUGAAGGGCAUGCCUGUUUGAGUAUCAUGAACACCUCAACUCUCGUGGUUUGCCAUGAUGAGCUUGGACUUUGGGGGUCUUGCUGGCCUAUGGUCGGCUCCUCUUAAAUGAAUCAGCUUGCCAGUGUUUGGUGGCAUCACAGGUGUGAUAACUAUCUACGCUUGUGGUUUUCCACCAGGUAACCUUCAGUGGUGGAGGUUCGCUGGGGCUCACAAAUGUCUCUCCUCAGUGAGGACAGC
rnacentral:rRNA from 1 species